rnacentral:rRNA from 1 species
CUGGCGGCAGGCCUAACACAUGCAAGUCGAGCGCUCACUUCGGUGGGAGCGGCGGACGGGUUAGUAACGCGUGGGAAUAUGCCCGGUACUAAGGAAUAGCCUUUGGAAACGAAGAGUAAUACCUUAUACGCCCUUCGGGGGAAAGAUUUAUCGGUAUCGGAUUAGCCCGCGUAAGAUUAGAUAGUUGGUGGGGUAAUGGCCUACCAAGUCUACGAUCUUUAGCUGGUUUUAGAGGAUGAUCAGCAACACUGGGACUGAGACACGGCCCAGACUCCUACGGGAGGCAGCAGUGGGGAAUCUUAGACAAUGGGCGCAAGCCUGAUCUAGCCAUGCCGCGUGAGUGAAGAAGGCCUUAGGGUCGUAAAACUCUUUCGCCAGAGAUGAUAAUGACAGUAUCUGGUAAAGAAACCCCGGCUAACUCCGUGCCAGCAGCCGCGGUAAUACGGAGGGGGUUAGCGUUGUUCGGAAUUACUGGGCGUAAAGCGCACGUAGGCGGACUGGAAAGUUGGGGGUGAAAUCCCGGGGCUCAACCUCGGAACUGCCUCCAAAACUAUCAGUCUAGAGUUCGAGAGAGGUGAGUGGAAUUCCAAGUGUAGAGGUGAAAUUCGUAGAUAUUUGGAGGAACACCAGUGGCGAAGGCGGCUCACUGGCUCGAUACUGACGCUGAGGUGCGAAAGUGUGGGGAGCAAACAGGAUUAGAUACCCUGGUAGUCCACACCGUAAACGAUGAAUGCCAGUCGUCGGCAAGUAUACUUGUCAGUGACACACCUAACGGAUUAAGCAUUCCGCCUGGGGAGUACGGUCGCAAGAUUAAAACUCAAAGGAAUUGACGGGGGCCCGCACAAGCGGUGGAGCAUGUGGUUUAAUUCGAAGC